AAACCUGCCGCCCCAGAGCCACGUGCUGAAGCCGGCGCUGGGUGGGUGGCUGGCCCCGCCCCGAGUGGCUCGGGGAAGGGGGGCUUGCUGGGAACCGCAGCAGGCCAAGUUCCCUGGGGAGGGAGAGAACUCGAGGUGGACACCCUCGACCCCAGGGCACCAGGGAACAAAUGUGUCUGGAGUAGGAGGUCCAGUUCCCUUCGAUGGGGGCAGCUCUGGCCGAGCCUGAAGAAAUGCACUGGCCUAACCUAACUUUCUCCCCUGACCGUGGUGGGAUGGGGUGGAAGCUGGAGACCACCCCGACCUCAUACCCUUCAAAAAGGAUGUAUGUCCCAGGGUUUACAGAACCUCAGUAAAUAGAGGGUGGGUGGCGGUUUAGUGAAGGGGGUGGUUGGUGGUAGGAAGAUGGAAGGAAGCUGUAUAAAAAGAGGAAAGAAGAAUUGUAAGAACAUGUGAAGUGCAGAACUGGACUCCUUGCAAAGCCACGGCUCAACAAGUGAUGCCAGCCCGGGAGGGGGCUGUCCGUGUCUCAUCUUGCAGGCAGAAGUAGCACAACAGCUGGGUGAACAAAACCCGCCCGGAUCUGUCCAGAACUGUUUGUCAGUACAGCCUCAACAGGGACCAUGCUGAGAACUCCCUUGGUAGGGGUUACCUCCUCCACCAUUUCACAUUCUGAUUUCUCGUGUUUCUGGUUCGGGCUCAGUUCAGUUGCCACCUUCUCUGGGAAGCGCCUUUCUCCUGCCCCAUCGUCUGAGUGCACUUGGCCCAUGCAUCCAGCCCAGCCUCUGGGUCCUUGGUUCAUCAUCCUCACGGAUUCCAGCGGCCAUUCGGCAGAAAGUCUUUGCUCCUUCCCUUAGCAAUUGGAACAAGGACAGAGGGUCAAUGGAAUUUCAGUGCAACUCACUAAAACUAGCCCGUUGUGUGUACAUCCAUACUCAAGAAUACAGAUGGACUUCAUUAAAGCUAUCGUGUCCUGUGGAAAUACAUUCAUACAAAAAAUAUUAGGGGCCGUCUCUCUCUCUCUUUUUUCCCCCCCUUGAGCGGCUGUGUCUCUUCACAAAACUUUUUCAAAGACUAUUAAAUGUAAGAUUCCUCAUAUGCAUUUACAAGUCUUACUUUUGUUUUUGUUUUUGUUUUUUGGGGGCAACUUUUGGGGGAAAGAUGUUGAAAGUGAGAUAUAAGAUCAAGAGAUGAAUUAGCAGAGAUUUGACUAUUUUCAGGGGUCAUGUAACAAAAUUCUGUAUUACUGCAGAUACCAGAAAACUGAGCUAAAUUAGGAAUAUCUGUCUCCUGAAGUUUGGCCUAACUCCUCAAAACAUCUGUCAUCCGCUGGUAGCAUUUAUCACUCCACAGAGAAGCGAAUCUCCUCUAUGCCGUCCUUGGCCACGUAAUAGAGCAGAGAGCCCAGGACACUGUUAGAAAAUCUUGGCUCUACCUCUGGCUCUGCCAUGUGUGAGCUUUGCUACCUUGGGCCACCUGCUAGUCUGCUUGAGCCUUGGUUUUACUUACCUGUAAUAUAGGGAUCAUUCCAUCUAUGUCUUAGGGCCCAUGUGAAGACCAGAAGAAUAAGAGACACUCAGUAAAGGGUACUCAAUAAAGAGUAGCUUCAAGUGUUUUAGACUUUUUUU
ensembl:lncRNA